GUCUCAUCACUGUGACAUGAUGGGGAUAGUUUUAGUUAGUAGACCGUGCCCGGCUGCUCCUGAGAAGGGCUUGCAGCACUCAACUCUUGCUUAUCCURGCAAAUGUGGCUGGAAACUUGGGUGUUACCUCUGUCAAGAUGAUGCACAAAGUACACCUGUGUGGACUCUACCUGCACAGUGAGUUGCUAAAGCACUUUGCUCUGCAAGCUGAAGGUCACAUCUUGACUGGAUUGAAAGCRCUCCAGGGUUAGGAAGGGAUUCCURCAUGUACUGUGGUCACAUCUCUYGAUGGCAGUGUAGACAUUUCCUUAAUAGGGAAAUAGGGAAGCUGAAUGCGGCUUAUACACAGUACCUCAGUKCUAUAGGAAUCAACUCACCGUGUGUAAGGACAUCUGAAUAGAAGAAUAAGUUGCAAGAGACUGGGAAAAAGAUACUGAAGUCAGGCUAGAAAUAAUGGAUAACUGGCAUAUGAUGAGAGCACAUGGUAACAGGCUGAAGAGGAGAAAGAAUAAGCAAGGAUUUAUGGCGCACGUGCUCUGCCAUGAGUCUACUCCUAGUUCUGUCCAGGAAAUACCAGGCAAAAAUAUUGCAGCUCUGGAGAAAAUGCUGAGACAGUACCAGAAGAUGAUCUGCACCGUGCUGCGGGCAGCGAAACGGAAGCUGACCAGACAGGCCAUCUGGCAAGGCUUCUCAGUGCCUCGUAGGACUGGGUCUGCUCUUCUUCUGACUGAAAUUCUUCAGGAAGCAUCAGGCUGUAGCUAGCUCCACAUAAGGGGUCCAGAGAACUAGAUGCCUUUGGUUUCCAACCCAAGGUCAGUGGAGAGGACACAAUUGGAAUGUGUAUAAAGACAGCUGCCAUUCUUAAUAGUCUUCUCGCUAUGGUUCACUCUAUUGUUCAAUAUGUGGACUGAAAGGAUGGAGAACUGGCUGAACUGCAAGGCCCAAAGGGCUGUGAUCAGCAAGUCCAACUGGCAGCUGUUAAAAGUGGCAUUCCUCACUGGUCGGUAUGGUUUAAUAUCCUUAUGGAAGAUCUGGAUGAUGGACUGAAUACACCCUCAGCAAGUCUGUGGAUGUUCCCAAGCUGGAGAAAGUGAAGGAAAUGCUGGAGGGCAGGGCUGCUAUUCAGAGGGACCUGGAGAAACAGCCUAAGAAGAACAUYGUGAGGAACAUCAUGAAGCUCAGCAAAGGCAAAUGCUAAGUUCUGCAUUUGGGAUGGACCAGCCCCAGGCAAGAGAACAUUCUGGGACUGACUGGUUAGAAAGCAGUUUUGCAGAAAAGGGUCGGGGGGUUCUGGUGGACAACAUGUGGAACAUGAGUUAGCAGUGUGCUCUUGCAGCAAAGACCAACUGCAUCCUGGGCUGUAUUUGUGAGAGUGUAGCCAGCAGGGCCAAGGAAGGGAUUGUUCCCCUCUAUUAGGCACUGAUGAGACCACAUCUGGAGUGCUGUGUCUAGUUUGGGCUCCCCAGUGCAAGACAGACAUUGAUAUACUGUGGCAAGUCCAGUGGGGGUCACCAAGACAGUCAGACRCUGAAGCACAUGCUGUAUGAGAAGAGGCAGAAGGAGAUGGGUUUGUUCAGCCUGGAGAAUAAAAGGUAAAGGAGGGAUCUUAUUGCUGUCUAC
ensembl:lncRNA